rnacentral:piRNA from 1 species
GACUGAGUAGAGUGAAGGUCCUCGGAGC